GCAUAACGCGAAGAACCUUACCAGGCCUUGACAUCCAAUGAACUUUCUAGAGAUAGAUUGGUGCCUUCGGGAACAUUGAGACAGGUGCUGCAUGGCUGCCGUCAGCUCGUGUCGUGAGAUGUUGGGUUAAGUCCCGUAACGAGCGCAACCCUUGUCCUUAGUUACCAGCACGUAAUGGUGGGCACUCUAAGGAGACUGCCGGUGACAAACCGGAGGAAGGUGGGGAUGACGUCAAGUCAUCAUGGCCCUUACGGCCUGGGCUACACACGUGCUACAAUGGUCGGUACAGAGGGUUGCCAAGCCGCGAGGUGGAGCUAAUCCCAGAAAGCCGGUCGUAGUCCGGAUCGGAGUCUGCAACUCGACUCCGUGAAGUCGGAAUCGCUAGUAAUCGCAGAUCAGCAACGCUGCGGUGAAUACGUUCCCGGGUCUUGUACACACCG
rnacentral:rRNA from 1 species